rnacentral:pre_miRNA from 1 species
GCUCUGUGAAGAAGAAAUGUGCAGAAAUGAGGGCUCCUUUCAGCCUAAAAACUACAGGUUUUCUCAGACAAGAUCCUGUUUCUUUUGGACUGAAGGGAGCUCCCAGUUCUUCAGUUUCUUUCAUCUGC